GAAUCAAACUUCCUGUGGUGUCAGUCUCCCUUCUUUCCUAACCCUUCUGGCUUUAUUUCUUGGCUGCCUCUUUCAGUCAUUUGCUCUUGGGUUUAUUAGUCGAAUUCAGACUAUUUACCUUUAUUUCUAAUGGAUAACCUUUACGACAUUAUUUAUGUUCAUUGCUUAUCAAUUCUAUGAACUAAAAUUGUGGUCAAGAAGUAUUUCACUCCCUUGCCAAACCCAGCCCUGCUCAGCCCCAGAACAACCACCACUCAGGACCACGGUGCCGAAUCUCAUAACGAACUGGACAUCAAGAAGUUUCUACAUUCACUGUAAGAAUUUGAAAUGAAGAAAGAACAAUACAAGCUGCAGACCACAUAAAAAACUACUUAACAAUAUACAUACUGAUCCAUUGUGGAAUUAUUAAGGAAAAUACAUUGAAAUAGGUGGCAUUCUUGUCAAAGAUAUAUAUGGACGGCUAGAUGGAUAGAUAGGUGAAAAUCAUGUUCCAUGGAAGAAGAGUUAGCUCAGCCUGCAACUCAAACAAGUACAGAUAUUCUUCCAUGGAAUGACCAUCAUACUUGGAUUGUAAUAAAAAUGCUUUAGGCAAACUUCUCAUUUCAUCCUUGGCAUAUUAAAAAUAUGUAUGUAUGUUUAAGGCUUGAAACUUAACACUGUAUUUUAAUGUUUCAGUAAGGUAAUUCUUCUUAAAUAAAAUUGGCAUUUUUAAAAAAGC
rnacentral:lncRNA from 1 species